GGCAUUUUAUAAGUGUAGCGGUUAUCACACCAGAUUUUGAAAUGUUUCGUCUUCUGGUAACCUGAGUUCGAAUCUCGGUACGACCU